CUCACCCACACCUGAGGAUUCUCCAGGUCUCCCCCUGGAGAGAUGGCAGCCUCUCAGCGACACAGCUCAGGGACCAUUGUGAACAUUCUCUGAGUCCCGGGAGCCAGGCCUAGUCAUCGGCUGGCUCGCCUGCAUGAGAUGCGCAUCUGUGGUUUUGUUUUAUGUUGGUGUGUACCAAAAAUUGCAGCACUGGAGCAGAUAAGGGAGAAUGAGGGGCAAGCAUCACCUCUGUACCGAGCAGGACAUUGGUAACUGGAGAGAAACAGCAUGAAAAACUGCCGAUUUAAGGGAGCUAAAUGCACCAUGGCAAGGAGGUACUGCAGAGGGCAUAUGCAUCACUGGAUGCAGAUGGCUUGGGA